rnacentral:rRNA from 1 species
UGAGCAAUCUGCCCUUCUCAUCGGAAUAAGCGUUGGAAACGACGUCUAAUGCCGAAUACGACCUCCUUUCGCAUGAUCGGAGGUGGAAAGCUCCGGCGGAGAAGGAUGAGCUCGCGGCCUAUCAGCUAGUUGGUGUGGGUAAUGGCCCACCAAGGCGACGACGGGUAGCCGGCCUGAAAGGGUGACCGGCCACACUGGGACUGAGACACGGCCCAGACUCCUACGGGAGGNAGCG